AUUGAACGCUGGCGGCAGGCCUAACACAUGCAAGUCGAACGAGUGGCGGAUGGGUGAGUAAUGUCUGGGAAACUGCCUGAUGGAGGGGGAUAACUACUGGAAACGGUAGCUAAUACCGCAUACCAUCGGAUGUGCCCAGAUGGGAUUGGCUAGUAGGUGGGGUAAAGGCUCACCUAGGCGACGAUCCCUAGCUGGUCUGAGAGGCUGACCAGCCACACUGGAACAGAAACACGGUCCAGACUCCUACGGGAGGAAGCAGAGGGGAAUAGUGCACAGUGGGAUCAAGACUGAUGCAGCCAUGCCGCGUGUAUGGAGAAGGCCAUCGGGUUUGAAAGUACUUUCAGCGAGUAGGCGUUACCCGCAGAAGAAGCACCGGCUAAAUCCGUGCCAGCAGCCGCGGUAAUUC
rnacentral:rRNA from 1 species